CAGCAGAAGGUGGUGCUGAAGCUGGACCUGCAGCACGACGACACGCGGAAGCGCAAGGCGAUCAAGGCCGUCUCCACUCUCUGUGGUAUCGACGAGAUCGUCGUGGACAUGAAGGACGACAAGAUGACGGUCGUGGGCAUGGUCGACCCCGUCGACGUCGUCCGCAAGCUGCGCAAGCGCUUCUGCACGGCGCAUAUGGUCUCCGCCAGCCCGGUCAAGGAUGAAGGCAAGGACGGCAACAGGAAGAGUGCGAGCACGGCCGGCCCAGUGCACCUGUCGUGCUACCCGCCGCACUGGUGCCCGCCGCCUCACCACCUGAACCCGUGCUACCUCGUCCACACCGAGGAGGACCCCAACGCGUGCGACAUCUGCUGA
rnacentral:rRNA from 1 species